rnacentral:lncRNA from 1 species
GUUAAAGAAAUAUCCUCUUUCACUAUGUAUAAAUAGACUUCACAUGAUACUACUUGAAGUGUGCCUUUUUGCUUUAUCCUUAUAAUUUCAUUCUUCAUUUUCUCAUUCUAUCAUGGUAUCAGAGCGGCGUUCUCCUCUUUGAGUCUUUCAACCUCACCCAUCAGCUUCACGUCAGGCCAUGGAAGCUACUGCAUCAUCAUCUUCCCACUUUUCAUCGCCGCUAGUGCCCCGUCACUGACCCUCUGCUCCAGAUCUACCAGAUCUGCUCUACUUCCGCGUGCUGGUCCAUCGACCAGCUCCUUGCCUUCUCCCUCCAAUCCCUCCGCCACCGCUGUCCUCGACUCCGGCAACAUUAUCCU